CAGCAGCCGCGGGAAUACGUAGGGUGCGAGCGUUAAUCGGAAUUACUGGGCGUAAAGCGUGCGCAGGCGGUUUUGUAAGACAGGCGUGAAAUCCCCGGGCUCAACCUGGGAAUGGCGCCUGUGACUGCAAAGCUAGAGUGCGGCAGAGGGGGAUGGAAUUCCGCGUGUAGCAGUGAAAUGCGUAGAUAUGCGGAGGAACACCGAUGGCGAAGGCAAUCCCCUGGGCCUGCACUGACGCUCAUGCACGAAAGCGUGGGGAGCAAACAGGAUUAGAGACCCCUGUAGUCCCUGUCUCUUAUAC
rnacentral:rRNA from 1 species